rnacentral:rRNA from 1 species
GUUAUCACGUCGCCCUGUCACGGCGAAGAUCGCGGGUUCGAUUC